GAUGAACGCUGGCGGCGUGCUUAACACAUGCAAGUCGAACGAUGAAGCUGGAGCUUGCUCUGGUGGAUUAGUGGCGUACGGGUGAGUAACACGUGAGCAACCUGCCCCUGACUCUGGGAUAACAGCCGGAAACGGCUGCUAAUACCGGAUAUGCACCAUGAACGCAUGUUCUGUGGUGGGAAAGAUUUUUCGGUUGGGGAUGGGCUCGCGGCCUAUCAGCUUGUUGGUGAGGUAAUGGCUCACCAAGGCGUCGACGGGUAGCCGGCCUGAGAGGGUGACCGGCCACACUGGGACUGAGACACGGCCCAGACUCCUACGGGAGGCAGCAGUGGGGAAUAUUGCACAAUGGGCGAAAGCCUGAUGCAGCAACGCCGCGUGAGGGAUGACGGCCUUCGGGUUGUAAACCUCUUUUAGCAGGGAAGAAGCGAGAGUGACGGUACCUGCAGAAAAAGCGCCGGCUAACUACGUG
rnacentral:rRNA from 1 species